GGUGAGGCUUUUCCAGUAGUUCUU
rnacentral:misc_RNA from 1 species